AGUAGGGAAUCUUCCACAAUGGGCGCAAGCCUGAUGGAGCAACACCGCGUGAGUGAAGAAGGGUUUCGGCUCGUAAAGCUCUGUUGUUGGAGAAGAACGUGCGUGAGAGUAACUGUUCACGCAGUGACGGUAUCCAACCAGAAAGUCACGGCUAACUACGUGCCAGCAGCCGCGGUAAUACGUAGGUGGCAAGCGUUAUCCGGAUUUAUUGGGCGUAAAGCGAGCGCAGGCGGUUGCUUAGGUCUGAUGUGAAAGCCUUCGGCUUAACCGAAGAAGUGCAUCGGAAACCGGGCGACUUGAGUGCAGAAGAGGACAGUGGAACUCCAUGUGUAGCGGUGGAAUGCGUAGAUAUAUGGAAGAACACCAGUGGCGAAGGCGGCUGUCUGGUCUGCAACUGACGCUGAGGCUCGAAAGCAUGGGUAGCGAACAGGAUUAGAUACCCUGGUAGUCCAUGCCGUAAACGAUGAGUGCUAGGUGUUGGAGGGUUUCCGCCCUUCAGUGCCGGAGCUAACGCAUUAAGCACUCCGCCUGGGGAGUACGACCGCAAGGUUGAAACUCAAAGGAAUUGACGGGGGCCCGCACAAGCGGUGGAGCAUGUGGUUUAAUUCGAAGCUACGCGAAGAACCUUACCAGGUCUUGACAUCUUGCGCUAACCUUAGAGAUAAGGCGUUCCCUUCGGGGACGCAAUGACAGGUGGUGCAUGGUCGUCGUCAGCUCGUGUCGUGAGAUGUUGGGUUAAGUCCCGCAACGAGCGCAACCCUUGUUACUAGUUGCCAGCAUUAAGUUGGGCACUCUAGUGAGACUGCCGGUGACAAACCGGAGGAAGGUGGGGACGACGUCAGAUCAUCAUGCCCCUUAUGACCUGGGCUACACACGUGCUACAAUGGACGGUACAACGAGUCGCAAGCUCGCGAGAGUAAGCUAAUCUCUUAAAGCCGUUCUCAGUUCGGACUGUAGGCUGCAACUCGCCUACACGAAGUCGGAAUCGCUAGUAAUCGCGGAUCAGCAUGCCGCGGUGAAUACGUUCCCGGGCCUUGUACACACCGCCCGUCACACCAUGGGAGUUUGUAACGCCCAAAGUCGGUGGCCUAACCUUUAUGGAGGGAGCCGCCUAAGGCGGGACAGAUGACUGGGGUGAAGUCGUAACAAGGUAGCCGUAGGAGAACCUGCGGCUGGAUCACCUCCUUUCUAAGGAA
rnacentral:rRNA from 2 species